GCAGAAAAGCGGUCUGUCGCUUGGGAGGUUUCUUUCAAGAGGAAAGUCCGGGCAACACAGAGCAUCAUGUUUCCUAACGGGAAGCCGGCGGCAACGCCGGAGAUAAGUGAUAGAAAACAACCGCCCCUCCCUUGGAGAUGGUAAGGGUGAGAAGGUGGGGUAAGAGCCCACCGGCUCCCAUGGUGACAUGGGAGGCCGCACAUCUCAUGAGUUGCAAGGCCAAAUAUACCGGCAGUCAAGGAUUGCUCGUCCAUUGCCGGGGGGUAGGCUGCUCCAGCUCGCAGGCAACUGCGAUGCGUAGAUAAAUGACAGACACCGUCUUCAUGACGGCACAUAACCCGGCUUACAGCCUUUCUGCAUCU
rnacentral:RNase_P_RNA from 1 species